rnacentral:rRNA from 1 species
GACGAAGGGGGCUAGCGUUGUUCGGAAUUACUGGGCGUAAAGCGCGCGCAGGCGGCUUGGUAAGUCGGGGGUGAAAGCCCAGAGCUCAACUCUGGAAUUGCCUUCGAAACUAUCAAGCUUGAGUACGGAAGAGGUGAGUGGAAUUCCCAGUGUAGAGGUGAAAUUCGUAGAUAUUGGGAAGAACACCGGUGGCGAAGGCGGCUCACUGGUCCGUUACUGACGCUCAGGCGCGAUAGCGUGGGGAUCAAACAGG